UGCGCAGACCGCCUUAUCGCUGCCAUCCGAUAGCUAUCGGGAGGGAGAGGAAAGUCCGGACACCAUAGGGAAGCAUAGCGGAUAACAUCCGUCGGCUUCGGGCAACCGAGGUCAGGACCAGUGCAACAGAAAGAAUGUACAGUUCGGCUGUAGUGAAACCAGGUAAACUCUAUGUGGUGAAAUUUCAAGUAUACCGACUCUUAAGGGUUUCCCGCCCGUUGUCGGAGGGUAGAAAGAUCGAGCCUGCGGGUAACUGCCGGCCUAGAUAAAUGAUAAGGGUUUCACCUGGUCGAAAGACCCGGUGGAAUACAGAAUCCGGCUUAUAGGUCUGCUUUUUUU
rnacentral:RNase_P_RNA from 1 species